AAAAAUAUUUUAUAUUUUCAUGCUCUCAAGUGGCUCUUAGGUGAAAAAUGUUGGCUAUAUAAAAUGUCUAGUCCUGUAUUGGUCCUCUUGGGAUAGACCUGUAUCCAUUGGUGCUGCUUCUUUGUGGAGAUCCUGUCAGCCCUGUUGGGUAUUCCAGCUGGGUGCUUGCUCUUGAUCCUCAUUUUCCAGACAUCCUAGAAGACUUAUUGGGGCAUAUUUAAACCUGUGUCCUCCCCCCUCCUCAGGUGCUGUACCCUGUGUGCCAUGUGCGUAACCUGAUGCUGUGGAGUGCAGUGUACCUGCCCUGCCCAUCCCCAACCACCCCUGUGGACGACAGCUGUGCACCAUACCCAGCCCCAGGCACCAGCCCUGAUGAUCCCCCCCUGAGCCGGCUACCAAAGACUAGAUCAUAUGACAAUCUGACCACAGCCUGUGACAACACAGUGCCUCUGGCCAGCCGGCGCUGCAGCGACCCCAGCCUGAACGAGAAGUGGCAGGAGCACCGGCGCUCACUAGAGCUGAGCAGCCUGGCUGGCCCUGGAGAGGAUCCCCUUUCUGCCGAC
rnacentral:sRNA from 1 species